rnacentral:lncRNA from 1 species
UCAAUAUUGUUCUCACUUAAUCACUUGUAUAAUUCAAAAUAUAUUUGACUUUUACAUUGUGGACCUUCUAAUCACGUGGUUAAACAUUUGUAAUAUGUUGUGUGCUUUUUGUUUUAUAAUCACGCGAUUAAAGAUGGGGCCUUUCAUCAUAAUUAAUGGGAGGGUUAAGGCCUAAGCGCCUUUAGUUGUUUUAAAUUUCCUUCUUUUUCUAAGGUAUCUUUUGCUUUUACGUACAGUUUUGUUUUAAAACUGAGUAAGCUGAUU